rnacentral:rRNA from 1 species
GUGGGGAAUUUUGGACAAUGGGCGCAAGCCUGAUCCAGCAAUGCCGCGUGCAGGAAGAAGGCCUUCGGGUUGUAAACUGCUUUUGUACGGAACGAAACGGUCCGGGUUAAUACCCUGGGCUAAUGACGGUACCGUAAGAAUAAGCACCGGCUAACUACGUGCCAGCAGCCGCGGUAAUACGUAGGGUGCAAGCGUUAAUCGGAAUUACUGGGCGUAAAGCGUGCGCAGGCGGUGCUGUAAGACAGGCGUGAAAUCCCCGGGCUCAACCUGGGAAUUGCGGUUGUGACUGCAGUGCUGGAGUGCGGCAGAGGGGGAUGGAAUUCCGCGUGUAGCAGUGAAAUGCGUAGAUAUGCGGAGGAACACCGAUGGCGAAGGCAAUCCCCUGGGCCUGCACUGACGCUCAUGCACGAAAGCGUGGGGAGCAAACAGGAUUAGAAACCCGGGUAGUCC